GGAGGGUGCGAGCGUUAAUCGGAAUUACUGGGCGUAAAGCGCACGUAGGCGGUUGGGUAAGUCGGAUGUGAAAGCCCUGGGCUUAACCUGGGAACUGCAUUCGAUACUGCCCGGCUAGAGUAUGGGAGAGGGAAGCGGAAUUUCCGGUGUAGCGGUGAAAUGCGUAGAUAUCGGAAGGAACACCAAUGGCGAAGGCAGCUUCCUGGCCCAAUACUGACGCUCAGGUGCGAAAGCGUGGGGAUCAAACAGGAUUAGAUACCCUGGUAGUCCACGCUGUAAACGAUGAGAACUAGAUGUUGGGAGGGUUUUGCCUCUCAGUGUCGCAGCUAACGCGCUAAGUUCUCCGCCUGGGGAGUACGGCCGCAAGGUUG
rnacentral:rRNA from 1 species